UAGAUACCCUAUUAUAAAAAUUUAAAUUGAUUUACUUAAAAAUUAAUAGUUAAGUUCUUUAAAUUUAAAAAAUUUGGCGGUAUUUUAGUCUUAUUAGAGGAACCUGUUUAUUAAUUGAUAAUCCACGAUUAAUUUUACUUAUUUUAAUUAAUUCAUAUAUCGCUGUCAUGAAUAUAUUUAAAAAUUUAUUUUCUUUUUUUAUUUUUAUAAUUUAUGUUAAGUCAAGAUGUGGUUUAUAAAUAAGAAUAUAAUGGGUUACAAUAAAUUUUAUUUUUGGAUUUAAAAUGAAAAUUAGAAUGAAAUUGGAUUUAAUAGUAAGUUUAUUUA
rnacentral:rRNA from 1 species